rnacentral:rRNA from 1 species
AGUGAACGCUGGCGGUAGGCCUAACACAUGCAAGUCGAACGGCAGCACAGUAAGAGCUUGCUCUUACGGGUGGCGAGUGGCGGACGGGUGAGGAAUACAUCGGAAUCUACUUUUUCGUGGGGGAUAACGUAGGGAAACAUACGCUAAUACCGCAUAUGACCUACGGGUGAAAUCAGGGGAUCUUCGGACCUUGCGCGAUUGAAUGAGCCGAUGUCGGAUUAGCUAGUUGGCAGGGUAAAGGCCCACCAAGGCGACGAUCCGUAGCUGGUCUGAGAGGAUGAUCGGCCACACUGGAACUGAGACACGGUCCAGACUCCUACGGGAGGCAGCAGUGGGGAAUAUUGGGCAAUGGGCGCAAGCCUGAUCCAGCCAUACCGCGUGGGUGAAGAAGGCCUUCGGGUUGUAAAGCCCUUUUGUUGGGAAAGAAAAGCAGCAGGUUAAUACCCCGCUGUUCUGACGGUACCCAAAGAAUAAGCACCGGCUAACUUCGUG